rnacentral:misc_RNA from 1 species
GAAAUGCGAUACGUAAUGUGAAUUGCAGAAUACCGUGAAUCAUCGAAUCCUCGAACGCAUAUUGCGCUUUCAGGACCUCCUGGAAGCAUGCCUGUUUGAGUAUCAGGAUCAAACCUCAACUUAAACAUUUUGUUUAAAUUGGACUUGGAUUUUCCACGUCUCUCUCUUCUUGCAUAAGUAGUAGAGAUACGCGAAAUCUAAAUUGUAGAAUCGCAGGGCAUCUCCCUUAGCCAAAAUUUGGUCAUUUGCAGCUAGCAAUCGUCCUUUAAUUUUUAAUGCUAAUAGAUAGUCAUGUGGACUUCUGGCACACGGGCUUUUGAAACCCCUUUAGCUAGAAAAACCUUGAGGACCAGGUAAUUCAUUGAAAAAGCCUACCUCUUGAGCUUUUGAUCUCAAAUCA